CAAGAUGAUUGGUGAUUAUGCAUAAUCACCAAUUAAUCAUUUUUACCAUAACAUAUAUAGUAUAUUGAUAGGCAUUUAACCUAUAAUUCAGAAUGAAUCUUCUUGCAGGGCCAUCAUCAGACGGCCCUGAAAGAAGAUUGAAAAUGUUAGUCAAAUAGUAUUUUAAUUUUUGUAGUCUUGAUCUAUUUUUUGAAUUACUAGUUACAAUUAUAAAGAAACAGAAGAAUGCAAAGGAAAAAGACUACACUGGUCUGCAACCAAAAAACUGCAUAGGAUUUUUUGACUGUUUCUUAUAGAUUUUUACUCACUGAAACCAGGAAAAAUAUUUAAAAUUUUCCAUCACAUCAGGUUUCCUUGCAAAACUCAAGUAUUUAGUGUAAUUAA
rnacentral:lncRNA from 1 species